UACCAGCUCUUCGAGUGGUGUGGAUGUUUAUUGGGCCUAAAGCAUCCGUAGCUGGCUGGGCAAGUCCCCUGUUAAAUCCACCGAUUUAAUCGUUGGAGUGCGGGGGAUACUGUUCGGCUAGGGGACGGGAGAGGCAGACGGUAUUUUCGGGGUAGGGGUGAAAUCCUAUAAUCCCGAGAAGACCACCAGUGGCGAAGGCUGUCUGCUAGAACGCGCCCGACGGUGAGGGAUGAAAGCUGGGGGAGCGAACCGGAUUAGAUACCCGGGUAGUCCCAGCUGUAAACGAUGCAGGCUAGGUGUUUGGACGGCCACGUGCCGUUCUAGUGCCGCAGGGAAGCCGUUAAGCCUGCCGCCUGGGGAGUACGGCCGCAAGGCUGAAACUUAAAGGAAUUGGCGGGGGAGCACCACAAGGGGUGAAGCUUGCGGUUU
rnacentral:rRNA from 1 species